UGGGGAAUAUUGGACAAUGGGCGAAAGCCUGAUCCAGCAAUGCUGCGUGAGUGAUGAAGGCCUUAGGGUUGUAAAGCUCUUUUACCCGGGAUGAUAAUGACAGUACCGGGAGAAUAAGCCCCGGCUAACUCCGUGCCAGCAGCCGCGGUAAUACGGAGGGGGCUAGCGUUGUUCGGAAUUACUGGGCGUAAAGCGCACGUAGGCGGCUUUGUAAGUUAGAGGUGAAAGCCCGGAGCUCAACUCCGGAAUUGCCUUUAAGACUGCAUCGCUAGAACGUUGGAGAGGUAAGUGGAAUUCCGAGUGUAGAGGUGAAAUUCGUAGAUAUUCGGAAGAACACCAGUGGCGAAGGCGACUUACUGGACAACUGUUGACGCUGAGGUGCGAAUGCGUGGGGAGCAAACAGGAUUAGAUACCCUGGUAGUCCACGCCGUAAACGAUGAUGACUAGCUGUCGGGGCUCUUGGAGUUUCGGUGGCGCAGCUAACGCGUUAAGUCAUCCGCCG
rnacentral:rRNA from 1 species